GAUGAACGCUGGCGAGAUGCUUUACACAUGCAAGUCAUACGAGAGUUUUUAACUCAAGUGGCGGACGGGUGAGUAACACGUAAGAAUUUGCCUUUAGGAGGGGGAUAACAACUGGAAAUGGUUGCUAAUACCCCAUAUGCUUUCGAGUGAAAUGGAUUUUUCCGCCUAGAGAGAAGCUUGCGCCUGAUCAGCUUGUUGGUAAGGUAAUGGCUUACCAAGGCGACGAUCAGUAUCUGGUUUGAGAGGACGAUCAGACACACUGGAACUGAGACACGGUCCAG
rnacentral:rRNA from 1 species